CUCCUACGGAGGCAGCAGUGGGGAAUAUUGGACAAUGGGCGCAAGCCUGAUCCAGCAAUGCCGCGUGUGUGAAGAAGGCCCUCGGGUUGUAAAGCACUUUUAUCUGGAGCGAAAUCUGCAGGGCUAAUACCCAUGCAGUCUGACGGUACCAGAGGAAUAAGCACCGGCUAACUUCGUGCCAGCAGCCGCGGUAAUACGAAGGGUGCAAGCGUUACUCGGAAUUACUGGGCGUAAAGCGUGAGUAGGUGGUUUCUUAAGUCUGCUGUGAAAGCCCCGGGCUCAACCUGGGAAUUGCAGUGGAUACUGGGGAGCUAGAGUGCGGUAGAGGGUAGUGGAAUUCCCGGUGUAGCGGUGAAAUGCGUAGAGAUCGGGAGGAACACCAGUGGCGAAGGCGGCUACCUGGACCAGCACUGACACUGAGUCACGAAAGCGUGGGGAGCAAACAGGAUUAGAUACCCUGGUAGUCCACGCCCUAAACGAUGCGAACUGGAUGUUGGGUGCAACUUGGCACUCAGUAUCGAAGCUAACGCGUUAAGUCGCCGCC
rnacentral:rRNA from 1 species